UACGAAGGGGGCUAGCGUUGCUCGGAAUUACUGGGCGUAAAGCGUGCGCAGGCGGUUCUCCAAGUCCGUUGUGAAAGCCCCGGGCUCAACCUGGGAAUGGCAGUGGAAACUAGGGGACUUGAAUCUGGCAGAGGGGGGUGGAAUUCCACGUGUAGCAGUGAAAUGCGUAGAGAUGUGGAGGAACACCGAUGGCGAAGGCAGCCCCCUGGGCUGAGAUUGACGCUCAGGCACGAAAGCGUGGGGAGCAAACAGG
rnacentral:rRNA from 1 species